AUGCGGCGAUCAGCUAUGGCGCUCCGCUCCACGGCGGACCGGUGCUUCGGCCACCACUCACCGUUGACGAACGUUAUUCAAUCAACAUACAGUGCAAACAUUGGUUCAAGAUUGGGAAGUCUUGCAAGAGCUUUCAGUGCAAAACCACUUGGAAAUGAGGUUAUUGGGAUUGAUUUGGGAACAACAAAUUCAUGUGUUUCUGUUAUGGAGGGAAAGAAUGCAAAAGUGAUAGAGAAUUCAGAAGGCACUAGGACGACACCAUCAGUUGUUGCCUUUAGUCAGAAGGGCGAGCGGCUUGUUGGAACUCCAGCCAAACGUCAAGCAAUUACCAAUCCACAGAACACCUUCUUUGGUACAAAGCGUAUGAUAGGGCGUCGCUUUGAUGACCCACAGACGCAGAAAGAGAUGAAAAUGGUUCCAUACAAAAUUGUGAAGGCUCCAAAUGGUGACGCUUGGGUUGAAACAACAGACGGCAAGCAGUACUCACCGAGCCAGAUUGGUGCAUUUGUGUUGACCAAGAUGAAGGAGACCGCUGAAUCUUACCUUGGCAAGUCUAUUUCGAAGGCUGUGAUCACAGUUCCAGCUUACUUCAACGAUGCCCAGCGGCAGGCAACCAAGGAUGCUGGUCGAAUUGCUGGACUUGAUGUCCAAAGGAUCAUCAAUGAACCAACUGCUGCUGCUCUGUCUUAUGGAACAAACAACAAGGAGGGUUUGAUAGCUGUAUUUGACCUUGGAGGUGGUACCUUCGAUGUCUCCAUCCUUGAGAUCUCCAAUGGAGUUUUUGAGGUGAAAGCAACAAACGGUGAUACUUUCCUGGGUGGAGAAGACUUUGAUAAUACUCUAUUGGAGUACCUAGUCAGUGAAUACAAAAGAUCUGAUAAUAUUGAUCUGUCAAAAGACAGACUAGCUCUGCAAAGGUUGCGUGAAGCAGCUGAGAAGGCAAAAAUUGAACUCUCAUCAACUGCGCAGACUGAGAUCAACCUUCCUUUUAUCACGGCUGAUGCUGCUGGAGCAAAACAUUUGAAUAUAACAUUGACAAGAUCAAAGUUUGAAAGUUUGGUGAAUGGUCUCAUUGCAAGGACUAGAGACCCAUGCAAGAAUUGUUUGAAGGAUGCUGGUAUAACCACAAAGGAAGUUGAUGAGGUUCUUCUUGUUGGUGGCAUGACAAGGGUUCCCAAAGUGCAGGAAGUGGUUUCAGAAAUCUUCGGCAAGGCCCCCAGCAAAGGAGUCAACCCAGAUGAAGCUGUUGCCAUGGGUGCGGCUCUUCAGGGUGGCAUUCUCCGUGGAGAUGUCAAAGAGCUUCUUCUCCUUGACGUAACCCCCCUUUCACUUGGUAUUGAGACUCUUGGUGGUAUCUUCACCAGACUGAUAACCAGGAACACUACAAUCCCCACAAAGAAAAGCCAGGUGUUCUCAACUGCUGCUGACAACCAGACGCAAGUGGGUAUCCGUGUCCUGCAAGGUGAACGUGAGAUGGCAACAGACAACAAACUUCUUGGCGAGUUUGAUCUUGUGGGCAUCCCACCAGCCCCAAGAGGACUGCCACAGAUUGAGGUCACGUUUGAUAUUGACGCCAAUGGAAUUGUGACGGUCUCUGCAAAGGACAAGGCCACCGCAAAGGAGCAGCAGAUCACCAUCCGAUCGUCCGGUGGGCUUUCUGAGUCCGAGAUCGAGAAGAUGGUGCGGGAGGCUGAGUUGCACUCACAGAAGGACCAGGAGCGCAAGGCCCUCAUUGACAUCAGAAACACCGCAGACACCACCAUCUACAGCAUCGAGAAGAGCCUGGGAGAGUACAGGGACAAGAUCCCCGCGGAGGUCGCCACCGAGAUCGAGACGGCGGUUGCUGAUCUCCGCGCGGAGAUGGCCUCUGACGACAUCGAGAAGAUAAAGAGCAAGAUGGAAGUGGCCAACAAGGCGGUCUCAAAGAUCGGGGAGCACAUGUCUGGUGGUGGUGCGGCUGGAGGCGGCGCGGCUGGCGGUGGUUCCCAGGAAGGAGGCUCGCAGGGCGGAGGCGACCAGGCCCCAGAGGCCGAGUACGAGGAGGUGAAGAAGUGA
rnacentral:rRNA from 1 species